AUACGUAGGAUCCAAGCGUUAUCCGGAGUGACUGGGCGUAAAGAGUUGCGUAGGUGGUUAUAUAAGUGAAUAGUGAAAUCUGGCGGCUCAACCGUACAGGCUAUUAUUCAAACUGUAUAACUCGAGAAUGGUAGAGGUAACUGGAAUUUCUUGUGUAGGAGUGAAAUCCGUAGAUAUAAGAAGGAACACCAAUGGCGUAGGCAGGUUACUGGACCGAUAUUGACGCUGAGACGCGAAAGCGUGGGUAGC
rnacentral:rRNA from 1 species